rnacentral:lncRNA from 1 species
GUGUUGUAGAGAGAGGAAACGUUUCGCCAGGAGACAUGUUCAUGGUCAUUUACCCUGGAUCUGGAUCCUCUCAGCUCAUCCUCUCCUUGCUAAGAAUUUCAUUUACCUUCUCUCUCUGUGUAAUUAAUCAUUGACUACUAGUGGGGGAUACCCUGGUGCACUGAAACAAUAAAGAGGAAAGUGCAAUGUAAUUUAAGCUUUUCACAUAAAAAAGAUAGUGUAAUUUACUCUAACAACUAAAAGAAAAAAUGGCUAAUCACACUUCAGGUAACUAGAAGUAACUUAGCGACUUAGCGUUGAUGUUCCUUCGCAUUGCCUGUUUGAGUCUACUCUUAUUACUAUUUGAUUUACCAGGUUAUAUAUGCUAUGGUUCAGAAUCAUAUAUUGAGACAGAUAUGCAGCGCAACACUAGGUCACAGGAAAGAUAACAUUUGUUGAAUCCAUUCUUUAGAGAGGCCAAGCUUAGCAAAAGGUGAAAAUGAUUUUGGGGGACUGAAGCUAUUCCUUCUUUGGAGUCAGCUCAGCUUAUAUAAACAAACCCCUUCACAUGUUUUUUGAGGUUGGCUGACAAUGUGAAAGAGUGACGGGAUUUAUUUUCCACUCCUGGCAUUGAACUUGAAGAUUUUUUGUAAUGUGCAUGUAAAUGAAUGAUACUCCAGAAAACAUAAAGAGUGAAAAUAUGGUUCCAUUAUUUGUCAAUAACUGAUUAAUUAUGUGAUUUUUUGCUCCAACUUUUUUUUAAAGCAUUUUUGGGUCUUGUUAGGGUACACUUUAAGCACCUUAAACAGUAGUAAGUUUUGAUGAAAUUGUUAUUAAAAUGUGUGA